UACGAAGGGGGCUAGCGUUGCUCGGAAUCACUGGGCGUAAAGGGCGCGUAGGCGGCCAUUCAAGUCGGGGGUGAAAGCCUGUGGCUCAACCACAGAAUUGCCUUCGAUACUGUUUGGCUUGAGACCGGAAGAGGUCAGUGGAACUGCGAGUGUAGAGGUGAAAUUCGUAGAUAUUCGCAAGAACACCAGUGGCGAAGGCGGCUGACUGGUCCGGUUCUGACGCUGAGGCGCGAAAGCGUGGGGAGCGAACAGG
rnacentral:rRNA from 1 species